UUGAACGCUGGCGGCAGGCCUAACACAUGCAAGUCGAGCGGUAACACAGAGAGCUUGCUCUCGGGUGACGAGCGGCGGACGGGUGAGUAAUGUCUGGGAAACUGCCUGAUGGAGGGGGAUAACUACUGGAAACGGUAGCUAAUACCGCAUAACGUCGCAAGACCAAAGUGGGGGACCUUCGGGCCUCAUGCCAUCAGAUGUGCCCAGAUGGGAUUAGCUAGUAGGUGGGGUAACGGCUCACCUAGGCGACGAUCCCUAGCUGGUCUGAGAGGAUGACCAGCCACACUGGAACUGAGACACGGUCCAGACUCCUACGGGAGGCAGCAGUGGGGAAUAUUGCACAAUGGGCGCAAGCCUGAUGCAGCCAUGCCGCGUGUGUGAAGAAGGCCUUCGGGUUGUAAAGCACUUUCAGCGGGGAGGAAGGCGGUGAGGUUAAUAACCUCAUCGAUUGACGUUACCCGCAGAAGAAGCACCGGCUAACUCCGUGCCAGCAGCCGCGGUAAUACGGAGGGUGCAAGCGUUAAUCGGAAUUACUGGGCGUAAAGCGCACGCAGGCGGUCUGUCAAGUCGGAUGUGAAAUCCCCGGGCUCAACCUGGGAACUGCAUUCGAAACUGGCAGGCUAGAGUCUUGUAGAGGGGGGUAGAAUUCCAGGUGUAGCGGUGAAAUGCGUAGAGAUCUGGAGGAAUACCGGUGGCGAAGGCGGCCCCCUGGACAAAGACUGACGCUCAGGUGCGAAAGCGUGGGGAGCAAACAGGAUGAGAUCCCCUGGUAGUCCACGCCGGAAAGGAUGUCGACUUGGAGGUUGUGCCCUUGAGGCGUGGCUUCCGGAGCUAACGCGUUAAGUCGGCCGCCUGGGGAGUACGGCCGCAAGGUUAAAACUCAAAUGAAUUGACGGGGGCCCGCACAAGCGGUGGAGCAUGUGGUUUAAUUCGAUGCAACGCGAAGAACCUUACCUGGUCUUGACAUCCACAGAACUUUCCAGAGAUGGAUUGGUGCCUUCGGGAACUGUGAGACAGGUGCUGCAUGGCUGUCGUCAGCUCGUGUUGUGAAAUGUUGGGUUAAGUCCCGCAACGAGCGCAACCCUUAUCCUUUGUUGCCAGCGGUUAGGCCGGGAACUCAAAGGAGACUGCCAGUGAUAAACUGGAGGAAGGUGGGGAUGACGUCAAGUCAUCAUGGCCCUUACGACCAGGGCUACACACGUGCUACAAUGGCAUAUACAAAGAGAAGCGACCUCGCGAGAGCAAGCGGACCUCAUAAAGUAUGUCGUAGUCCGGAUUGGAGUCUGCAACUCGACUCCAUGAAGUCGGAAUCGCUAGUAAUCGUAGAUCAGAAUGCUACGGUGAAUACGUUCCCGGGCCUUGUACACACCGCCCGUCACACCAUGGGAGUGGGUUGCAAAAGAAGUAGGUAGCUUAACCUUCGGGAGGGCGCUUACCACUUUGUGAUUCAUGACUGGGGUG
rnacentral:rRNA from 1 species